rnacentral:rRNA from 1 species
UACGAAGGGGGCUAGCGUUGCUCGGAUUGACUGGGCGUAAAGGGCGCGUAGGCGGUUCGUACAGUCAGACGUGAAAUUCCUGGGCUCAACCUGGGAGCUGCGUUUGAUACGUGCGGACUUGAGUGCGGAAGAGGGUCGUGGAAUUCCCAGUGUAGAGGUGAAAUUCGUAGAUAUUGGGAAGAACACCGGUGGCGAAGGCGGCGACCUGGUCCGAUACUGACGCUGAGGCGCGAAAGCGUGGGGAGCAAACAGG